AGGGGGGAAGUUUAUAAAUAUUAAUUUGUCAGAUUAAAGAAGCUAGGAUUCCGCAGAUUAGCCCUUUAG
rnacentral:tRNA from 1 species